rnacentral:rRNA from 1 species
UGUAGAGAAUCUGCCCUGUACUGGGGGACAACAGAGGGAAACUUCUGCUAAUACCCCAUAUGAGCGUACCUGCGAUGGUAUUCUUGAAAGUUCCGGCGGUACAGGAUGAGUCUGCAUCUGAUUAGCUAGUUGGUGGUGUAAUGGACUACCAAGGCGACGAUCAGUAGCUGGUUUGAGAGGAUGAUCAGCCACAAUGGGACUGAGACACGGCCCAUACUCCUACGGAAGGCAGCAG